rnacentral:rRNA from 1 species
AUUGAACGCUGGCGGCAGGCUUAACACAUGCAAGUCGAACGAGUGGCGGACGGGUGAGUAAUGUAUGGGGAUCUGCCCGAUAGAGGGGGAUAACUACUGGAAACGGUGGCUAAUACCGCAUACUAUCGGAUGAACCCAUAUGGGAUUAGCUAGUAGGUGGGGUAAAGGCUCACCUAGGCGACGAUCUCUAGCUGGUCUGAGAGGCUGAUCAGCCACACUGUGACUGAGCCACUGCCCAGACUCCUACGGGAGGCAGCUGAGGGGAAUAUUGCACAAUGGGCGCAAGCCUGAUGCAGCCAUGCCGCGUUUAUGAAGAAGGCCUUAAGGUUGUAAAGUACUUUCAGCGGGGAGGCGUUACCCGCAGAAGAAGCACCGGCUAACUCCGUGCCAGCAGCCGCGGUAAUUC